rnacentral:rRNA from 1 species
GCCAGCGGGUAGGCUACCAUGCAGCCGAGCGGUAGAGAUUCUUCGGGAUCUUGAGAGCGGCGUACGGGUGCGGAACACGUGUGCAACCUGCCUUUAUCAAGGGGAUAGCCUUUCGAAAGGAAGAUUAAUACCCUAUAAUAUAUGAUUCGGCAUCGGAUUAUAUUGAAAACUACGGUGGAUAAAGAUGGGCACGCGCAAGAUUAGCUAGUUGGUGAGGUAACGGCUCACCAAGGCGACGAUCUUUAGGGGGCCUGAGAGGGUGAUCCCCCACACUGGUACUGAGACACGGACCAGACUCCUACGGGAGGCAGCAGUGAGGAAUAUUGGACAAUGGGUGGAAGCCUGAUCCAGCCAUCCCGCGUGUAGGAAGACGGCCCUAUGGGUUGUAAACUACUUUUAUCUGGGGAUAAACCUACUUACGUGUAAGUAGCUGAAGGUACCAGAUGAAUAAGCACCGGCUAACUCCGUGCCAGAC